rnacentral:rRNA from 1 species
UUAAAACGUAAAAUUUAUACUAGAGUAGUAAUAGUUAUGAACUUGAAACUUAAAAAAUUUGGCGGUAUUUUAGUCUAUUCAGAGGAACCUGUUCUAUAAUCGAUAAUCCACGAUGGACCUCACUUAAAUUUGUUAUCAGUUUAUAUACCGUCGUUAUCAGGGGAUUUUAGAAGAAUUCCAAUUCCCAAAAAUUUUUAAUAAAAUUUAUAUCAGAUCAAGGUGUAGCUUAUAUUUAAGAAGAAAUGGGUUACAAUAAAUUUAUUUAUAUGGAUUUCUUUUUGAAAUAAAAGAAUGAAAGUGGAUUUGACAGUAAAAUUUUAAAGAUAAAAAAUUUGAUUAUAGCUCUAAAAUAUGCAC